AACCUGUCUCAGUUCGGAUUGGAGUCUGCAACCCGACUCCAUGAAGCUGGAUUCGCUAGUAAUCGCGCAUCAGCCACGGCGCGGUGAAUACGUUCCCGGGCCUUGUACACACCGCCCGUCAAGCCAUGGAAGCCGGGGGUGCCUGAAGUGCGUGACCGCAAGGAGCGCCCUAGGGUAAAACCGGUGACUGGGGCUAAGUCGUAACAAGGUACC
rnacentral:rRNA from 1 species